rnacentral:rRNA from 2 species
AAUCCAUAGGUUAAUGAGGCGAACCGGGGGAACUGAAACAUCUAAGUACCCCGAGGAAAAGAAAUCAACCGAGAUUCCCCCAGUAGCGGCGAGCGAACGGGGAGGAGCCCAGAGCCUGAAUCAGCAUGUGUGUUAGUGGAAGCGUCUGGAAAGGCGCGCGAUACAGGGUGACAGCCCCGUACACAAAAGCGCAUGUGCUGUGAGCUCGAUGAGUAGGGCGGGACACGUGGUAUCCUGUCUGAAUAUGGGGGGACCAUCCUCCAAGGCUAAAUACUCCUGACUGACCGAUAGUGAACCAGUACCGUGAGGGAAAGGCGAAAAGAACCCCGGCGAGGGGAGUGAAAAAGAACCUGAAACCGUGUACGUACAAGCAGUGGGAGCACCCUUUUGGGUGUGACUGCGUACCUUUUGUAUAAUGGGUCAGCGACUUAU